UACGUAGGGGGCAAGCGUUGUCCGGAUUUACUGGGCGUAAAGAGCGCGUAGGCGGAAGCUUAAGCGGUGCUUGAAAGCCCCCGGCUCAACCGGGGAGGGGGGUGCCGAACUGGGCUUCUUGAGGGCGAUAGAGGAAGGUAGGAUUCCGGGUGUAGCGGUGAAAUGCGUAGAGAUCCGGAGGAAUACCCGUGGCGCAGGCGG
rnacentral:rRNA from 1 species